UACAGAGGGUGCAAGCGUUGUGCGGAAUUACUGGGCGUAAAGCGCGUGUAGGCGGCUAUACAAGUCGGAUGUGAAAUCCCGCGGCUUAACCGUGGAAGUGCACCCGAAACUGUAUCGCUAGAGUCCCGGAGAGGAUGGUGGAAUACUUGGUGUAGAGGUGAAAUUCGUAGAUAUCAAGUGGACCACCGGUGGCGAAGGCGGCCUUCUGGACGGUGACUGACGCUGAGACGCGAAAGCGUGGGUAGCAAACAGG
rnacentral:rRNA from 1 species